rnacentral:tRNA from 1 species
GCCCGGAUAGCUCAGUCGGUAGAGCAGAGGAUUGAAAAUCCUCGUGUCGGUGGUUCGAUUCCGCCUUCGGGCACCA